rnacentral:rRNA from 1 species
GACGAACGCUGGCGGCGUGCUUAACACAUGCAAGUCGAGCGGUAAGGCCCUUUUGGGGGUACACGAGCGGCGAACGGGUGAGUAACACGUGGGUGACCUGCCCUCAGCUCUGGGAUAAGCCUGGGAAACUGGGUCUAAUACUGGAUAUGACCUUUCCUCGCAUGGGGUUGGGUGGAAAGUUUUUCGGCUGGGGAUGGGCCCGCGGCCCAUCAGCUUGUUGGUGGGGUGAUGGCCUACCAAGGCGACGACGGGUAGCCGGCCUGAGAGGGCGACCGGCCACACUGGGACUGAGACACGGCCCAGACUCCUACGGGAGGCAGCAGUGGGGAAUAUUGCGCAAUGGGCGGAAGCCUGACGCAGCGACGCCGCGU